rnacentral:rRNA from 1 species
UGGGGAAUUUUGGACAAUGGGCGCAAGCCUGAUCCAGCAAUGCCGCGUGAGUGAAGAAGGCCUUCGGGUUGUAAAGCUCUUUUGUCAGGGAAGAAACGGUAGAGGCUAAUAUCCUUUGCUAAUGACGGUACCUGAAGAAUAAGCACCGGCUAACUCUGUG